UCUCCACUGGUGUGAACUCAGGAUUCCGCAUUAGGUCCUGGAAAGCUGUGCAGCUUUUAACCACAGCUCUUGUUGUGAGCAGUUUUUUUCUGUUUUCUGCAUUUUCUAAUGAAUUUGCCCUCAACGCAGUCACAUUUGAAUGACAGAGACUAAAAACCACUUCCUGGGGAGUCACGAACACACUUGCGAGAAAGAAAUGGAGAACUGAUUUACAUCAAGCAGCACUCCAUUACUCCUCCUCACUGGAUCAAACUGGCAGCGAUGCAGCUUGGUCAUCCAGUCACCAUCAGCACUUCUCUCCAAAUCCCUCCCCAACCUCAGAGUCUGAUAUCCAGGAGCCGACACCCAUUCCUGCUGGACUCCAUCCAGCCCGUGUUGGUCAGGGCUAUCAUCAAUCCAAAACGGGGGAUGGAGGAACCUCUCCAGCCGCAGACUCCACAAAGCCCCAGUAACUGCAGCUCAUCGGGACCUGGUGGGAAAUCCUGCUGGAGUUUAGACCUGAGGGUGGCUAUUCUUCUGCUUACUCUGGCAGGAGCAGUAAUCCUCCUGCUGCUGUACAGACUGUUACAGCUGAGACACAGGCUGAGGAUGGCCAGAGCGAGGCAUGCUUUGGAGUACACCAGCUUCUACCACAGUGGCACCUACACACUCAAACACCCCACACCUUGUCAGGAGCUGCCAGAGAAGAACAGGGCAGUACCUGAAGACACUGUACCACUCCAAACCAUAACCUCAGUGACACCUGCUGUCAUCACCCCAGUGCCACCUCCAUCGCUGCCCUCACCGGCACCCCCUCCACUGCCACUCCCCCCACCUCCUGUCCUACCACGUCCACCUCUUCACCCUCCAGUUUCUCUCCCUCCAACACCCCCUGUCCUGUCACUCCCUCUUCCCGUGCCUGUCAUCCACACCACCCCGCCCAGCCCUCACCUGUCAUGGGGUGCCUGCUCAGAUGCAGAUGUUUAUUCUCGGAUUGGGACUUUCAGGCCAUCCAGGCUUUCCAACCUCUCCAACCAGUCGACAGUCAUCCUGUUUGAACACUCAUCUGUUUGAACUCUCACAGAAUGUGUGUGAUCUCCUCAAGGAGUCUGUGACUGUGACAAGGAUUACAAGAUGUUUCCUGUACUCUAUGUUUGUGUGUGUAAUAUACAGCAAAAUAUAAGAGGUUAACGUUUCAAAACUUUAAAACAUGAAGUUUGCACUUUGUCAGCCACUGAAGGGCUUUAUUGACAAAAAAAAGAAAGAAAAAAGCAGAUGCAAUAAAAUUGCAAUUUAAUUAAAAACACCUCUAUUAUAACCAUGUUUUUUUCUUAACUGGAUUGUGACGUCAGGAGGACAGAUGAAACCCUCCACUUGUCCAAGAAGCAGGACUAAAAAACUACCAAUAGCAGAUGAACACUAUGUAAAACAGGGCUUAUGAAUACAUUGACUUUUUGGUGGAGGAUUUCAGAAGCGAGGUACAACAGUGAACAUCUACAGUCAUCUGUAAAACAUGGCAGAAGGUUGCAUUUCAGUCAGUGGUGUCAGGGAAUGUGUUAAAGUUGAUGUGAAUGCAAAAAAAGCACAGCCAGAUCCACCAAUCAGAACCAUUUGGAAGCAUCUGAUUGACAACAGCUUAAUUUCUCAGCAUGA
ensembl:lncRNA